rnacentral:misc_RNA from 1 species
GCCAGGGACAACUCUGAGAAUUGUUAAGAACCUUAGAGUGUGUGGCAAUUGUCAUGAAGCCACGAAGAUGAUAUCGAAGAUAUUUAACAGGGAGAUCAUUGCAAGAGACAGGAAUCGAUUUCACCAUUUCAAAAACGGUUCUUGCUCGUGUUUAGACUAUUGGUGAACUGAUAAAGAUCAAGCAGAGUGGAUGGUUAAGUUUAUAGCCAGAAUGCUCUCAAGG